CUGGUGAAAAUUUUUGCUCUGAAGCAUUAAAGCUCUAAAAGUCUUUUCAUAAAAUUCACUAGAAAACUGAGAUUCAUUGCUAAGAAAUGAGUGUGGAACCACUUAUCCUGUAAGGCAAGAGAGACCUGUAUUUGCUCUUGUUAAGCCAUAAAGCAAUCUCACCUCAGGUAUUUCUAUAGCAAUAGCUGCAUGAGAAUGAGAAUUGUGAUAGGUUCACAAAAAUAAAUCUUCAUGGCUCUUCCCAAGGUGGAAAACUGAGACUAGUCCACAUUCCUUUCAAAUUUAGAAACCAAAAGUUUGCUUUUAUUUAAUCUGAGCCUAUGCUGUUCUGCCUAGUCCAUGCAUUUAUUUAUUUAUUACAUCUAUAGAGCACUUUUCUUCCAAAGCAACAUCUUUGUCGCAGUUGGCUCCUGGAGGAAGAAUUGAUCACAGAGAUGCAUUAGAGCUGCAAGGUUUUAUACACGAAUUCUGCAUUUUGCCAGAAGUUGAAGAUCUUUCUAAUACUCUGUACUCAAGAGGAAGGCAGAGCUUUCUAUGUGGAGUGACUGAAACAAUUUCGUCCAAAUGUUUGUUGCCACGGGCAAAAUAUCUAAAGAUUGUUCACUUGAAAAUUAUGACUCUUUUUCAGAAUUUUACAUCGUGUUAUUUGUUUUAUGGACUAUUCAGUAUGCAUUGCACCAACACUAAUUACUGCACUAAUAAGUCAGCGUGCUACCAAGAUGUUUUGCCAUUAUAAUUACAGCCACAUGUUGUUGUCCUUCCUCAAAUAGUCCAGGCUUAAUUGCAUCAUUUUUCAGGAGAAUUUAUGUGGUACAGCUUAAUUCAAAAUUACUACAUGAAUAAAUGAAGUGUAAACUAUUUUUUGUACUGACUCACAUACAGAAUAAAUGUUCUAG
rnacentral:lncRNA from 1 species